rnacentral:rRNA from 1 species
GAUGAACGCUGGCGGCGUGCUUAACACAUGCAAGUCGAACGGAAAGGCCAGUGCUUGCACUGGUACUCGAGUGGCGAACGGGUGAGUAACACGUGGGUGAUCUGCCCUGUACUUCGGGAUAAGCUUGGGAAACUGGGUCUAAUACCGGAUAGGACAACUUUUUGGAUAUUGUUGUGGAAAGCUUUUGCGGUAUGGGAUGAGCUCGCGGCCUAUCAGCUUGUUGGUGGGGUAAUGGCCUACCAAGGCGUCGACGGGUAGCCGGCCUGAGAGGGUGUACGGCCACAGUGGGACCGAGAUACGGCCCAGACGCCUACGGGAGGCAGCAGUGGGGAAUAUUGCACAAUGGGCGCAAGCCUGAUGCAGCGACGCCGCGUGGGGGAUGAAGGCCUUCGGGUUGUAAACUCCUUUCGCUAGGGACGAAGCUUUUUUGUGACGGUACCUGGAGAAGAAGCACCGGCUAACUACGUG